GUCAUUAAGUUGUAAAUGUAUAUGGUAAUUCCCCAACUUCUCAGAAACAAUACAAUGAAUUAUUUAAAUAAUUAAGACAUUUAACAUUAUCCACAUCAAUACAUUUCAACAGGGACAAGCGUUCUACAAAACAUUAGAACACGUACAGACGACCUAUUUCAAGACGAAACUGCCCAAUUUUGCUUUAAGAAUCCCAUUUUUAAGCCCUCCCCUUGAAACCAAAGAUGAGAAUCUGAUAAGAAAAGAUGAGGACCAGAGCAGUUUUAACAGAAGAAAGUACACAUCCCCUCUGGGCUCCGUAUCCACAGGGUUAUGCGUGUAAUUAGGAUCACGAGCACUGUACUCAGAACGCAGGCCACUCGGGAAGGCCCAGAGGUGGACUGACACCCCACCUUCUUUCUCAGCAGGAGGAGAUUGGCAAAUGAAUAGGAGAUGUGGGCCAUGGUACGUGUACUCCACUGGUCUCCGCAGGGCACAGCUAGUCCUAGAAGUUUCCCUUCUGUUGAAAAGGCAGCUGUCUUCCUAGGGCAGACAGACAGGAUUCGGUUACAGGUGCAGAGUCACGGCUCUUCCUCCCCGGCACCACAGUGCCCUCUUCCCAGUUGUGAGCCUGGCAUCAGCCAGGUAGCGGGGCAGGAGGAUCAACAAUUCCAAGAACAGCUGCAUCAGGAGGACCACCAGAGAGGUACACCCUCCCUCAGUCUGGGAUGCUUUCAGAUGCUUGCCAGCAGCUUCUCUGUGCAAAACAAGCAGAUGGCAGCCAAAGCAAGGACUGCUUCUGCCCAUUUCUAAAUGACUGCCACUGCCAUCUGCAAACGAAGCUACUUCAGGGGCACUGGUAUGGACGUCAGAUGUCCAGGGGUCCAACAGGCUGACUCUUCAUUUGACAAAAUGGAUACUAAGGUUCUUUAAAGGAAGCUUUAGAGAACACAGUGACUGUCAUUCAAAUGCCAAAGGGACCCAAAAGACAAGAAGAAAGACUAGUAUCUGUCCUGAGAUGCUGUGCUGUCUUCCUAGCUUCUCCUGAAUCCUCUCACUGCAUCUGGACAGCUACAGGCCUUGGCAAACAAACACGGAUGAAAUGCUGUUUUGGAGGCAACCUGAAGCCUGGAGUCAACCGACACUGUGUUCUGUCUUGUAAAACAGCUGGUCAACCAAUCAAUUCCUGUGUGUGCAUUUCAGGGAGGGAAUUUAUCUACAAAUUCGGAAGUAUUUUGGAUAAACAAAAUUAUCCAAGGCCUGUUAACUGCUACAUCCAUGCAUAUCCAUCGAGGGGAAGUCUAACACUCAGCAUUUGCUCCUUAGCAAAAAGGGAAUCACAAACCCUGAAACCUAGUUAAUAUCAUUAGCUCACUGCCAUCCAUGAUUUUGACACAGC
rnacentral:lncRNA from 1 species